rnacentral:rRNA from 1 species
CAGUCGCCGCGGGAAUACGAAGGGUGCAAGCGUUAAUCGGAAUUACUGGGCGUAAAGCGCACGCAGGCGGUUUGUUAAGUCAGAUGUGAAAUCCCCGAGCUUAACUUGGGAACUGCAUUUGAAACUGGCAAGCUAGAGUCUUGUAGAGGGGGGUAGAAUUCCAGGUGUAGCGGUGAAAUGCGUAGAGAUCGGGAGGAACAUCAGUGGCGAAGGCGGCCAUCUGGGACAACACUGACGCUGAGGCACGAAAGCGUGGGGAGCAAACAGGAUUAGAUACCCCGGUAGUCCCUGUCUCUUAUAA